rnacentral:piRNA from 1 species
GGUGCUUGAGAAAGACUGACGAGAAGCUC